AUGCGUCCGCCGUAUGAUAAGAUGGAUCCCAUCGAUCCUUGCCUUCUCAGCUUCCUCAGCCACCAUGGCAUCGACGGCGCCUUCGAGAUCCUGUCUUCCCCCGGCGAUCCGGCAGCGGAGGAGACGAAGGAUGCCUUCCAGAAGAUCGUCAGUGAUUUCUGUAGAACGCCUCGGGCCGUGGACGUGGAAGGCAUGGCAGAUGGAAACACAGGGAAAGUGGUAACAACUAAACAUCAUCUCCAUCCAUCCAUAUGCCGUUGGCUGAAUGCGCUCCUUGGCGGUGAAGAGAAACCUAGCGCCAUGAAAAGAGAGCACGGGCCUGCUGAAGGCGAGCAGGAUCCAAAGAAGCCAAGAACAGCAGAAGGCUCAUGCAUGUGA
rnacentral:rRNA from 1 species